rnacentral:rRNA from 1 species
GACGAACCGUGCGAACGUUAUUCGGAAUCACUGGGCUUAAAGCGCGUGUAGGCGGGCGGGAACGUCGGUCGUUGAAAGCCCCCGGCUCAACCGGGGAACGGGCGCCGAAACGACCCGCCUCGAGGGACGUAGGGGGACCUGGAACUUCCGGUGGAGCGGUGAAAUGCGUUGAGAUCGGAAGGAACGCCCGUGGCGAAAGCGAGGUCCUGGACGUCUUCUGACGCUGAGACGCGAAAGCUAGGGGAGCGAACGGG